rnacentral:rRNA from 1 species
UACGUAGGGUGCAAGCGUUGUCCGGAAUUAUUGGGCGUAAAGAGCUCGUAGGCGGUCUGUCGCGUCUGCCGUGAAAAUUCGAGGCUCAACCUCGAACUUGCGGUGGGUACGGGCAGACUAGAGUGUGGUAGGGGAGACUGGAAUUCCUGGUGUAGCGGUGAAAUGCGCAGAUAUCAGGAGGAACACCGAUGGCGAAGGCAGGUCUCUGGGCCACUACUGACGCUGAGAAGCGAAAGCAUGGGGAGCGAACAGG